rnacentral:rRNA from 2 species
UUUGACCUCGAAUCAGGUGGGACUACCCGCUGAACUUAA